AAAAAGUACGUGAAACCUCUCGGGGNGUAAGCGGGCAGAACCUGCAAGUAUUGAUGGGAGAUUCAGGCUUAAGAUUGACGGCUGAGUGGUUAGAGUAAGUUGGGCCAUUCGUGACUCGGCUGUUGUGACUACUUUGUUCUGUUGAUAAUGCGCCGCAUUUCUCCUUAUCAUCCGGGUUGCAUGCAACUGAAAUGGUAUUCUAGGUUCGAGGUAAUUGCAAGUCCUUGUGGCUUGAAUCCCCGACACCAAAUACUUUUGCGGUUGUUGGUAUGCGAACAGGCACUUGUUGCGGUCAAAUGCGUUGACGAGUCGUGUUCAUGCGAGCUGUGGACGGGUAACCGUAGCACUUUGUAUGGACUGGUUGUCAGUCGGCGUAUAUUGGCUCUGUUCAGAAWUG
rnacentral:rRNA from 1 species